AAGAUCAUAUUUUCAGGAUCAUUUCUAUAGUCUUUGACUUGAGAAAUAUCGCAGGAUAAAGUGAUCGGUUACUCUAACCACGAUGAAGAGAACUGAUGUUCCCUUCUGAUAAAUGGCAGUGAGUGAUGAUGCAUUUCAUCCGCUCCUUGCCAUUGAUGACCGUUCCAUGCUCUCUAGUGGAGCCUGGAGGUAGGGAUCAUGAUCAGAGUGGU
ensembl:snoRNA U3 Small nucleolar RNA U3